rnacentral:rRNA from 1 species
GACAGAGGGGGCAAGCGUUGCUCGGAAUCACUGGGCGUAAAGGGCGCGUAGGCGGGAUGGCAAGUCGGUCGUGAAAUCCUUCGGCUCAACCGAAGAACGUCGGCCGAUACUGCCGUUCUUGAGGGAUGCAGAGGAGAUUGGAAUUCCCGGUGUAGUGGUGAAAUGCGUAGAUAUCGGGAGGAACACCAGUGGCGAAGGCGGCUUCCUGGCCUGUUUCUUGACGCUGAGGCGCGAAAGCUAGGGGAGCAAACGGG